rnacentral:rRNA from 1 species
UUUAUGGAGAGUUUGAUCCUGGCUCAGGAUGAACGCUGGCGGCGUGCCUAAUACAUGCAAGUCGAGCGAACAGAUAAGGAGCUUGCUCCUUUGACGUUAGCGGCGGACGGGUGAG